GGACAUGACGUGUGGCUGUCGUAAAAACCCUAUUUGUAAACAACCAGUCCUUUUAACUCGGGGCUGCGUCAUAAACACGGAGCGCUUGGAAGACCACGAUGUCAUCUUCCUUCUGUCAGGAGGAUCAAAGUGAAGCUACAGGAGUUUCAUUAACGUCAACAACUUGGACCGAACAGUUUGUUUUGCUUGAUGAAGAGCAGGAAGGGCAGCCUGGAGAGAAAGAGAAGCCGGGUUGAGCCCACUACCAUCAUCCAUGUACCACGAGGAAGAUGAGGGAGAGAAAUGAUCCUACCGUUAAAGAGACUGUGAAAAGAACGUUGAGAACAUCACCACUCUACAGGAAGACACAGUCCAGUAAUGGGUGUCAGAAGUUCAGUAGUGAACGACAGGCAGUACUGAUGCAUUUACUGAGACGGGACGUGAGGGCCUACUCUGCGUGCUCAGAGUUCAAGCCCAGCAGGCUGCAGCGGGCCUGACAUAUUCUGGAACAGCAGCACAGUCUUUGGAUGACUCCUCUGAAGAUGAAAACAUGGCGAGUUCUUCUCAAGAGAAGCAGUACAGGUGUGCCUCAGCUCCACGGUCCCUCCUGCAGCCUCCGCUCCUGAUGCUAACCUCAUGUCUCCAUCACACCAAGCAGCAGACCUGGAUUGACAGACCUUUCUCCAGAGCUGCCCCCUCCCUCUGAAACCCCCCUCUCCAAAACACUAUUUGUGUAGUUUUUAAAGUAUUUUUUGCAUGAGAAUUGUUGAUCAUAUCAUUUCCAGCAGAUGCCUUAAUAUAAUGUUUGUGCACAAUAAAUGACAUUGAUCAUAACAUAAUGGUAUUUCCUUGCACUUCUACACCAUGAUAUUGGCAGAUAAGAUGCUGAUUACAUUAAAGCAGUGAAUGCUCUUCUUUAAGCAACAUAAACAAACAAUGAUCCAAUGGAUCUGAAGUAGAAUGGGCACAUUACAUUCUGUAGAGAAUGCCUCAGUUAUGGAAGUCAGAAAAUAACUUUCUUUAUCUGAGGUUCCAGUCAUUUAUAGUCACAG